rnacentral:rRNA from 1 species
AUUGAACGCUGGCGGCAGGCCUAACACAUGCAAGUCGAGCGAGCGGCGGGCGGGUGAGUAGUGUAUGGGGCUCUGCCCGAGAGAGGGGGAUAACUAGUGGAAACGAGGGAUAAUACCGUAAUAGCGGUUGAGCCUAUAUGGCAUUAGAUAGUAGGUGGGGUAAGGGCUCACCUAGGAGACGAUCUCUAGCUGUUCUGAGAGGAUGAUCGGCCACACUGGGACUGAGACACGGCCCAGACUCCUACGGGAGGCAGCAGUGGGGAAUAUUGGACAAUGGGCGAAAGCCUGAUGCAGCCAUGCCGCGUGUAUGAAGAAGGCCUUAGGGUUGUAAAGUACUUUCAGUGGGGAGGCGUUACCCACAGAGAAAGCACCGGCUAACUCCGUGCCAGCAGCCGCGGUAAUUC